rnacentral:rRNA from 1 species
CGUGUCGUGAGAUGUUGGGUUAAGUCCCGCAACGAGCGCAACCCUUGAUUUUAGUUGCCAGCACUUCGGGUGGGCACUCUAGAAUGACUGCCGGUGACAAACCGGAGGAAGGCGGGGAUGACGUCAAAUCAUCAUGCCCCUUAUGACCUGGGCUACACACGUACUACAAUGGCCGGUACAACGGGCUGCGAAAGAGCGAUCUGGAGCGAAUCCUAUAAAGCCGGUCUCAGUUCGGAUUGCAGGCUGCAACUCGCCUGCAUGAAGUCGGAAUUGCUAGUAAUCGCGGAUCAGCAUGCCGCGGUGAAUACGUUCCCGGGUCUUGUACACACC